AGUGAACGCUGGCGGUAGGCCUAACACAUGCAAGUCGAACGGCAGCACAGUAAGAGCUUGCUCUUACGGGUGGCGAGUGGCGGACGGGUGAGGAAUACAUCGGAAUCUACUUUUUCGUGGGGGAUAACGUAGGGAAACUUACGCUAAUACCGCAUACGACCUACGGGUGAAAGCAGGGGAUCUUCGGACCUUGCGCGAUUGAAUGAGCCGAUGUCGGAUUAGCUAGUUGGCGGGGUAAAGGCCCACCAAGGCGACGAUCCGUGGCUGGUCUGAGAGGAUGAUCAGCCACACUGGAACUGAGACACGGUCCAGACUCCUACGGGAGGCAGCAGUGGGGAAUAUUGGACAAUGGGCGCAAGCCUGAUCCAGCCAUACCGCGUGGGUGAAGAAGGCCUUCGGGUUGUAAAGCCCUUUUGUUGGGAAAGAAAAGCAGCAGGUUAAUACCCCGCUGUUCUGACGGUACCCAAAGAAUAGGCACCGGCUAACUUCGUG
rnacentral:rRNA from 1 species